rnacentral:rRNA from 1 species
UAGGACGAACGCUGGCGGCGUGCCUAACACAUGCAAGUCGAGCGGGGACAUGCGACGGAUAGGAAGUUUCGGAUGGACUUGAAGAUGCAUUGUCUAGCGGCGGACGGGUGAGUAACGCGUGAGCAACCUGUCCCUACAGGGGGAUAACACAGCGAAAGUUGUACUAAUACCGCAUAAGACCACGGAAGGACAUCCGUUCAGGGGUCAAAGGAGGAAUCCGGUAAGGGGUGGGCUCGCGUCCGAUUAGAUAGUUGGUGAGGUAACGGCCCACCAAGUCGACGAUCGGUAGCCGACCUGAGAGGGUGAUCGGCCACAUUGGGACUGAGACACGGCCCAAACUCCUACGGGAGGCAGCAGUGGGGAAUAUUGGGCAAUUGGGGGGAAACCCUGACCCAGCAACGCCGCGUGAGGGAAGAAGGUUUUCGGAUCGUAAACCUCUGUCCUUGGUGAAGAGUGAGAGACGGUAGCCAAGGAGGAAGCCCCGGCUAACUACGUGCCAGCCGCGGC